UACAGAGGUGGCAAGCGUUGUUCGGAAUUACUGGGCGUAAAGGGCGCGUAGGCGGUCUUGUAAGUCUUGUGUGAAAUCCCUCGGCUUAACUGAGGAACUGCACGGGAUACUGCGAGACUUGAGAUCGGGAGAGGGAAGCGGAAUUCCGGGUGUAGCGGUGAAAUGCGUAGAUAUCCGGAGGAACACCGGUGGCGAAGGCGGCUUCCUGGACCGAUACUGACGCUGAGGCGCGAAAGCUAGGGGAGCAAACGGG
rnacentral:rRNA from 1 species